rnacentral:rRNA from 1 species
UACGGGGGGAGCAAGCGUUGUUCGGAUUUACUGGGCGUAAAGGGCGCGUAGGCGGUCAGCACAGGGCCGUUGUGAAAUCUCCGAGCUUAACUCGGAAAGGUCAACUGAUACUGUGCGACUAGAGUGCGGAAGGGGCAACUGGAAUUCUUGGUGUAGCGGUGAAAUGCGUAGAUAUCAAGAGGAACACCUGCGGCGAAGGCGGGUUGCUGGGCCGACACUGACGCUGAAGCGCGAAAGCCAGGGGAGCGAACGGG